UACGUAGGGUGCGAGCGUUGUCCGGAAUUACUGGGCGUAAAGGGCGCGUAGGCGGUCAGACCAAGUCGAGUGUGAAAUUCCAGGGCUUAACUCUGGCGCGCUCGCUCGAUACUGGUCGGCUAGAGUGUGGAAGAGGAUGCUGGAAUUCCCAGUGUAGCGGUGAAAUGCGUAGAUAUCGGGAGGAACACCAGUGGCGAAGGCGGGCAUCUGGGCCAACACUGACGCUGAGGCGCGAAAGCUAGGGGAGCAAACAGG
rnacentral:rRNA from 1 species